UACGUAGGGGGCGAGCGUUUGUCCGAAGUUACUGGGCGUAAAGCGCGCGUAGGCGGUUUCUUAAGUCUGGGGUGAAAGGUUCAGCGCUCAACGUGAACAGUGCCUUGGAGACUGGGAGACUUGAGUGUGGCAGAGGAGCAUGGAAUUCCUGGUGUAGCGGUGAAAUGCGUAGAGAUCAGGAGGAAUACCGAUGGCGAAGGCAGUGCUCUGGGCUAACACUGACGCUGAGGUGCGAAAGCGUGGGGAGCGAACGGG
rnacentral:rRNA from 1 species